rnacentral:rRNA from 1 species
UAGCUACGGGAGGCAGCAGUAGGGAAUAUUGCUCAAUGGGGGAAACCCUGAAGCAGCAACGCCGCGUGGAGGAUGACACUUUUCGGAGCGUAAACUCCUUUUGUUAGGGAAGAAAAUGACGGUACCUAACGAAUAAGCACCGGCUAACUCCGUGCCAGCAGCCGCGGUAAUGCUA